GUGCUCACAGUUCAGCAGCAAAUACACUAACAUUGGAACAGCAUAGAUAAGAUUAGCAUGGCCCCUGCACAAGGGUGACAUGCAAAGUCAUGAUGCAUUCCGUAUUUUU
ensembl:snRNA U6 U6 spliceosomal RNA